rnacentral:rRNA from 1 species
ACGAAAGUCUGACGGAGCAACGCCGCGUGAACGAUGAAGGCUUUCGGGUCGUAAAGUUCUGUUGUCAGGGAAGAACAAGUAUCGGAGUAACUGCCGGUACCUUGACGGUACCUGACCAGAAAGCCACGGCUAACUACGUGCCAGCAGCCGCGGUAAUACGUAGGUGGCAAGCGUUGUCCGGAAUUAUUGGGCGUAAAGCGCGCGCAGGCGGUUCCUUAAGUCUGAUGUGAAAGCCCCCGGCUCAACCGGGGAGGGUCAUUGGAAACUGGGGAACUUGAGUGCAGAAGAGGAGAGCGGAAUUCCACGUGUAGCGGUGAAAUGCGUAGAGAUGUGGAGGAACACCAGUGGCGAAGGCGGCUCUCUGGUCUGUAACUGACGCUGAGGCGCGAAAGCGUGGGGAGCGAACAGGAUUAGAUACCCUGGUAGUCCACGCCGUAAACGAUGAGUGCUAAGUGUUAGAGGGUUUCCGCCCUUUAGUGCUGCAGCAAACGCAUUAAGCACUCCGCCUGGGGAGUACGGCCGCAAGGCUGAAACUCAAAGGAAUUGACGGGGGCCCGCACAAGCGGUGGAGCAUGUGGUUUAAUUCGAAGCAACGCGAAGAACCUUACCAGGUCUUGACAUCCUCUGACAACCCUAGAGAUAGGGCGUUCCCCUUCGGGGGACAGAGUGACAGGUGGUGCAUGGUUGUCGUCAGCUCGUGUCGUGAGAUGUUGGGUUAAGUCCCGCAACGAGCGCAACCCUUGAUCUUAGUUGCCAGCAUUCAGUUGGGCACUCUAAGGUGACUGCCGGUGACAAACCGGAGGAAGGUGGGGGAUGACGUCAAAUCAUCAUGCCCCUUAUGACCUGGGCUACACACGUGCUACAAUGGAUGGAACAAAGGGUCGCGAAGCCGCGAGGUCGAGCCAAUCCCAUAAAUCCAUUCUCAGUUCGGAUUGCAGGCUGCAACUCGCCUGCAUGAAGCCGGAAUCGCUAGUAAUCGCGGAUCAGCAUGCCGCGGUGAAUACGUUC